rnacentral:piRNA from 1 species
UGGAAGAUUUUACAGUGUUAGAACUGUUCUC